UAAUCCAUUUACGACCUCUUG
rnacentral:misc_RNA from 1 species